CUGGCGGCGUGCUUAACACAUGCAAGUCGAACGAAGAGCGAUGGAAGCUUGCUUCUAUCAAUCUUAGUGGCGAACGGGUGAGUAACGCGUAAUCAACCUGCCCUUCAGAGGGGGACAACAGUUGGAAACGACUGCUAAUACCGCAUACGAUUUGACCUCGGCAUCGAGGAUAGAUGAAAGGUGGCCUCUAUUUAUAAGCUAUCACUGAAGGAGGGGAUUGCGUCUGAUUAGCUAGUUGGAGGGGUAACGGCCCACCAAGGCGAUGAUCAGUAGCCGGUCUGAGAGGAUGAACGGCCACAUUGGGACUGAGACACGGCCCAGACUCCUACGGGAGGCAGCAAUGGGGAAUCUUCCGCAAUGGACGAAAGUCUGACGGAGCAACGCCGCGUGAGUGAUGACGGCCUUCGGGUUGUAAAGCUCUGUUAAUCGGGACGAAAGGCCUUCUUGCGAAUAGUUAGAAGGAUUGACGGUACCGGAAUAGA
rnacentral:rRNA from 1 species